rnacentral:rRNA from 1 species
UACGGGGGGAGCAAGCGUUGUUCGGAAUCACUGGGCGUAAAGCGUGCGCAGGCGGGUUUGCAAGACAGAUGUGAAAUCCCCGGGCUCAACCUGGGAACUGCAUUUGUGACUGCACGGCUGGAGUGCGGCAGAGGGGGAUGGAAUUCCGCGUGUAGCAGUGAAAUGCGUAGAUAUGCGGAGGAACACCGAUGGCGAAGGCAAUCCCCUGGGCCUGCACUGACGCUCAUGCACGAAAGCGUGGGGAGCAAACAGG